rnacentral:rRNA from 1 species
GUGCCAGCAGCGGCGGUAAUACGUAGGGCGCAAGCGUUGUCCGGAAUUAUUGGGCGUAAAGAGCUCGUAGGUGGCUUGUCGCGUCUGCCGUGAAAGACUUGGGCUUAACUCGGGUUCUGCGGUGGAUACGGGCUGGCUAGAGGCAGGCAGGGGAGAACGGAAUUCCUGGUGUAGCGGUGAAAUGCGCAGAUAUCAGGAGGAACACCGGUGGCGAAGGCGGUUCUCGUGGGCCUGGCCUGACGCUGAGGAGCGAAAGCGUGGGAGCGAACAGGAUUAGAUACCCGUGGUACGUCCACG